CAGUCGCCACGGUAAUACGUAGGUGGCAAGCGUUGUCCGGAUUUAUUGGGCGUAAAGCGAGCGCAGGCGGUUAGAUAAGUCUGAAGUUAAAGGCUGUGGCUUAACCAUAGUACGCUUUGGAAACUGUUUAACUUGAGUGCAAGAGGGGAGAGUGGAAUUCCAUGUGUAGCGGUGAAAUGCGUAGAUAUAUGGAGGAACAUCGGUGGCGAAAGCGGCUCUCUGGCUUGUAACUGACGCUGAGGCUCGAAAGCGUGGGGAGCAAACAGGAUUAGAUACCCGCGUAGUCCAUGUCUCUUAUACA
rnacentral:rRNA from 1 species